GGUCAUGUGGCCCAGUGGAUAAGGCGCCUGACUACGAAUCAGGAGAUUCCAGGUUCGAGUCCAGGUAGGUUCG
rfam:Ciona savignyi cont_28723, whole genome shotgun sequence.